GUCUAUGACCAUACCACCCUAAACAUGCCCAAUCUCAUCUGGUCUCAGAAGCUAAGCAGGGUUGGACCUGAUUAGUAUUUGGAUGGGAGACAAAUAUUCAAAAGAGACUGCUCAGAGACA
rnacentral:rRNA from 1 species